rnacentral:rRNA from 1 species
UACGUAGGGUCCGAGCGUUGUCCGGAAUUAUUGGGCGUAAAGGGCUCGUAGGCGGUCUGUUGCGUCGGGAGUGAAAACUUACAGCUUAACUGUGAGCGUGCUUUCGAUACGGGCAGACUUGAGGUAUUCAGGGGAGAACGGAAUUCCUGGUGUAGCGGUGAAAUGCGCAGAUAUCAGGAGGAACACCGGUGGCGAAGGCGGUUCUCUGGGAAUAUCCUGACGCUGAGGAGCGAAAGUGUGGGGAGCGAACAGG